UUUUUUGGGCAUAGAGAUGUCAGUUGUUCCUGGUGGGAUGAUCCUUAAUCAGCAUAAGUAUGUUUUUGACCUGCUGCAUCAGUUUGACUCUAUAAAUGUUUCUCCUGUUGUUAGUUCUUUAGAUAUUAAUGUCAAACUUCAUACUGAUUCUGGUGAUAUUUUAUCCUCCCCUGAUCAAUAUAGGAGCCUUGUUGGUAAGCUCCUAUUUUUGACUCACACUAGGCCUGACAUCUGUUUUGCUGUUCAGCAUCUGAGUCAAUUUUUGAAAUGUCCCAGAGUCCCUCGUAUGACUGCUGCCCUAGACGUCCUUCGAUAUCCUAAGGGCACUUUAUCUUUGGGUAUCUUCUAUUGUGACAAUUAUUUUCUCUAUUACUGCUUAUUCUGACAGUGAUUGGGCUGCCUGCCCUGAUUUGACAUUUGUUUUGUUGUUCAGCAUCUGAGCCAAUUUUUGAAAUGUCCCAGAAUCCCUCAUAUGACUGCUGCCCUCCAUGUCCUCAGAUAUCUUAAGGGCUCUUUAUCUUUGGGUCUGUUCUAUUCUGACAGUUCUGAUUUCUCUAUUACUGCUUAUUCUGACAGUGAUUGGGCUGCCUGCCCUGAUACUCGCGGAUCUGUUACUGGUUUUUGUGUUAUUUUGGGUGGCUGUUUGAUUAGUUGAAAGUCCAAAAAGCAACCUGUAGUUUCCUUAUCUUCUGCUGAAGCAGAAUAUAAGGCACUCAGUAAAGUGGUAGCUGAAUUGUCUUGGCUUUCUCGUUUACUUACUGAUAUUGGGGUUUCGGUUACUCUUCCUUUCUCUGUUUUUGUGACAACCAGGCUGAUUUUCAUAUUGCCAAGAAUCGUGUUUUUCAUAAUCGGACCAAGCAUAUUGAGGUGGAUUGUCACUUUGUUAGGGAUCAGCUGACUAGUGGGCUCAUUGCACUCUCCCAUGUCCCUACCUCUCCCCAGCUAGCUGACCUCCUCACCAAGCCUUUGCCUGAGAACUCCCAUGUCCCUACCUCUCGACAGCUAGCUGACCUCCUUACCAAGCCUCUGCCUGGGACUGCCCUCCAUCCUCUCCUGGUCAAGUUGAAGGUGGUCUCCCGCUCCAACUUGAGGGGGGGUGUUGAGCUACAAACUUAUCUAGCUUCUAAGCCUAAACAUAAAUGUAGAC
rnacentral:lncRNA from 1 species